rnacentral:rRNA from 1 species
CUACGGGUGGCAGCAGUGGGGAAUAUUGCACAAUGGGGGAAACCCUGAUGCAGCCAUGCCGCGUGUGUGAAGAAGGCUUUCGGGUUGUAAAGCACUUUCAGCGAGGAGGAAAGGGUGCAAGUUAAUACCUUGUAUCUGUGACGUUACUCGCAGAAGAAGCACCGGCUAACUCCGUGCCAGCAGCCGCGGUAAUACGGAGGGUGCGAGCGGUAAUCGGAAUUACUGGGCGUAAAGCGCGCGUAGGCGGUUAAUUAAGUCAGAUGUGAAAGCCCAGGGCUCAACCUUGGAACUGCAUUUGAAACUGGUUAACUAGAGUUUUGUAGAGGGUGGUAGAAUUUCAGGUGUAGCGGUGAAAUGCGUAGAGAUCUGAAGGAAUACCAGUGGCGAAGGCGGCCACCUGGACAAAGACUGACGCUGAGGCGCGAAGGCGUGGGGAGCAAACGGGAUUAGAUACCCUGGUAGUC